rnacentral:rRNA from 1 species
GACGAACGCUGGCGGCGUGCCUAAUACAUGCAAGUUGAGCGCUGACGGUUGGUACUUGUACCAACUGGAUGAGCAGCGAACGGGUGAGUAACGCGUGGGGAAUCUGCCUUUGAGCGGGGGACAACAUUUGGAAACGAAUGCUAAUACCGCAUAAAAACUUUAAACACAAGUUUUAAGUUUGAAAGAUGCAAUUGCAUCACUCAAAGAUGAUCCCGCGUUGUAUUAGCUAGUUGGUGAGGUAAAGGCUCACCAAGGCGAUGAUACAUAGCCGACCUGAGAGGGUGAUAGGCCACAUUGGGACUGAGACACGGCCCAAACGCCUACGGGAGGCAGCAGUAGGGAAUCUUCGGCAAUGGACGAAAGUCUGACCGAGCAACGCCGCGUGAGUGAAGAAGGUUUUCGGAUCGUAAAACUCUGUUGGUAGAGAAGAACGUUGGUGAGAGUGGAAAGCUCAUCAAGUGACGGUAACUACCCAGAAAGGGACGGCUAACUACGUG